UACGUAGGGCGCAAGCGUUGUCCGGAAUUAUUGGGCGUAAAGAGCUCGUAGGUGGCUUGUCACGUCGGGUGUGAAAGCUUGGGGCUUAACUCCAGGUCUGCAUUCGAUACGGGCUGGCUAGAGGUAGGUAGGGGGAGAACGGAAUUCCUGGUGUAGCGGUGAAAUGCGCAGAUAUCAGGAGGAACACCGGUGGCGAAGGCGGAUCUCUGGGCCAUUACUGACGCUGAGGAGCGAAAGCAUGGGGAGCGAACAGG
rnacentral:rRNA from 1 species